rnacentral:rRNA from 1 species
GAUGAACGCUGGCGGCGUGCCUAAUACAUGCAAGUCGAGCGAACAGAUGAGGAGCUUGCUCCUCUGACGUUAGCGGCGGACGGGUGAGUAACACGUGGAUAACCUACCUAUAAGACUGGGAUAACUUCGGGAAACCGGAGCUAAUACCGGAUAAUAUAUUGAACCGCAUGGUUCAAUAGUGAAAGACGGUUUUGCUGUCACUUAUAGAUGGAUCCGCGCCGCAUUAGCUAGUUGGUAAGGUAACGGCUUACCAAGGCAACGAUGCGUAGCCGACCUGAGAGGGUGAUCGGCCACACUGGAACUGAGACACGGUCAGACUCCUACGGGAGGCAGCAGUAGGGAAUCUUCCGCAAUGGGCGAAAGCCUGACGGAGCAACGCCGCGUGAGUGAUGAAGGUCUUCGGAUCGUAAAACUCUGUUAUUAGGGAAGAACAAAUGUGUAAGUAACUAUGCACGUCUUGACGGUACCUAAUCAGAAAGCCACGGCUAACUACGUG